rnacentral:rRNA from 1 species
GACGAACGCUGGCGGCGUGCCUAAUACAUGCAAGUAGAACGCUGAAGGAGGAGCUUGCUUCUCUGGAUGAGUUGCGAACGGGUGAGUAACGCGUAGGUAACCCGCCUGGUAGCGGGGGAUAACUAUUGGAAACGAUAGCUAAUACCGCAUAAGAGUAGAUGUUGCAUGACAUUUGCUUAAAAGGUGCAAUUGCAUCACUACCAGAUGGACCUGCGUUGUAUUAGCUAGUUGGUGGGGUAACGGCUCACCAAGGCGACGAUACAUAGCCGACCUGAGAGGGUGAUCGGCCACACUGGGACUGAGACACGGCCCAGACUCCUACGGGGGGCAGCAGUAGGGAAUCUUCGGCAAUGGACGGAAGUCUGACCGAGCAACGCCGCGUGAGUGAAGGAGGUUUUCGGAUCGUAAAGCUCUGUUGUAAGAGAAGAACGAGUGUGAGAGUGGAAAGUUCACGCUGUGACGGUAUCUUACCAGAAAGAGACGGCUAACUACGUG